rnacentral:lncRNA from 1 species
GGAGGGAGGUAAAAUCCCCAGACCUGAGGACUCGAAGGGGCAGUCAAGGAGAGGAUAGCUCUUCUCCAGAGCUUAAAGGCAAAUAUUUUCUUUUUCCCUGGUUUCUCACCUUAUUGCUUUGUGUACUGAGUGAACUUAUUUGUUUUUGAGAUCCAGUAACCCAUGCAAGAAAUUUCAUAACACUUCUCAUUUAGUACUUUAAUACUAGUUGAAGAAUCUAGGGUUACACACACACACACACACACACACCAGGCUUAGUUCCAUUACCUAUAGCUGUAAAAAUGAGAUUUUUUUCUCAGUUUUGUGAAAAUGAAAGGCUGCUGGACUGGAACUCACAGUAUUGUAUAUCAAAAAGUAUCAGAUUGUGAUAAAAUAGAAACCCAGAAUUAAACUUGGCCUUAUGAUUUUUAGAAAGUCAACAGAUUUUGAAGGAGCCCACCCAGUGUAUUCAUUUCAUUUUUACUAAUCCUUUCUUUCAUGCUAAGAUAGAGAUGAAAAAGAAUGACAGACUUCCUGUUCUCAUUUCAUUACAGCAAAAUAAAUAAGUUUUAGUGUUCCAUAGCUCUGUAGGAUGACUAUAGUUAAAAAUAACAUAUAAUUUCAAAUAGCCAGGAGGACAUUGACUGUUCCCAACACAAAGAAAUGAUAAAUGUUUGCAAUGAUGGAUAUGCUAAUUACACUGAUCUGAUCACUAUACAUUGUACAUACAUAAACAUGACUAUGUACCUCAUGGAUAUGUACAACUGUUAUUUGUCAGUUUUAGAAAAUAAAAAAGCAGAAGAGAUCUGCUACCAAAUGCAGGAAUUUUCUAUAGAGUCUGUUAUAGCUAGCCUUCUACAGGCUUAACUCUUCUCAUGAUGGAGUAUUGACCAUCACCAACAGGAAAUCUUUUGUUUUAGGCACUCCAGGAAAUUAUCAGGGAGUUCUCUCUGUAGAUAACCAAAGUUUCCCUAGUUGUACUUCUACCCAUUUUUCUUAGUGUGAUCAUUUAAAGCAGUGCCUCACCAACUAUCAGAGAUGGGGGCCAGUAAUUUUUGUUUCAUUUUUUUCCAGUUCAUUACAAAUCAAUGCAUAUGUCUGUAAAACACAAAAUCACACCCUUAAAUGUGAUGGCAACAUCAAAUUGCCAUAAAAGUUUCUAAACUUUUCACCCCAAUUUCUGAAUUUAUCACAGACUGGUAAAAAACAGCUCACAAGCCAGCACCACGGGCAGACCACACUUUGCACAGUGCUCAAACGUAGGCCUAACAACCUGGCUUGGCUUGGCACUUCUAAAAACCGAUCCUGAGGCAAGGCUUCUUGUAAAAGAGUUUAUACUGGAAGUUAAAAAUCAUCAAAUUAUUAGAUACUGGGAAUGGAGUAGUAAAGUAGACAGAGCAGGGAAGGAAUAAAGUAUGAAUUUUCAAGCUGGUUACCCAUCUGGGCAACUGGAGCUCAGUUUUGCUGGGAAAGUCUGGAAGACAGUGUCAGAUAUAACUAAGAGUUAUUCCCAUCAAGGGGAAAGGAAACUGUGCUUUUCAUCCACCAAAUCCUUGCUUAACAUUGGAAUACAGAUGCUUCCAAGACAUUAACUUUGUGGCACUUCUGGCUUUUCCUACACACUUAUUGUGUAUGCCACCAUGUCUAGGGGGAAAAAGGCCCACAGGCAAAGAGGUACCAGCAUUCAUACCACCAGCUUUCAGCUUGUAGAGGUGGCCGCCAAGAGGAACUCGUAGUUGGCAGUGCCAACUACAACUACUACACCAACCAGCUGGAAACUAUACAAAGAGUAUGAACAAAGUUCACAGGAGAAACAAGGCUCUGCAACAUAUGAAAAUAUAUUCUACUUCAUUCAUAAUGAGACGCAUGAAAAUUGUAACUGUAUCAAUACCAUUUCUCACCUAGUAGAUGGGCAAAAAUCCAAAUGUUUGAGCACACAUUCUGUGGGUGAGGCUGUGGAAACGUAGGUUCACAUACAUUGCUCUUGGAUAUGCAGAUUAGGACCGCUCCUGUGGAGAGCAGUUAGGGAAUAUCUUUCAAAAUUAAAAAAUGCAGAGUUAAGUUUUGAUCCAGGAGUCUCACUCCUGAGAAUUUAUGCUAUAGAUAUGCCUACAAGCAUUUGAGAUGAAAAAGAAGCAUUGCUAUUUGUUUUUCUUGUUUUUCAUGAAUAACAUUGUAAAAGUAGAAUAUGGGCAGUGAUUCAAGCAUUCAUCUUUGGGACUGGUUAAGGAAACUAUGAUGCUUUCACAGAAUGAAAUUCUAUGCAGCUGUUUAAAACAAACCAAGACACCUUCUUUCACAUAUAUGGAAAGAUGUCCAAAAUAUACUGUUCAGUUUUUAAAAAGGUACAAAAUAACAUAUAUAGUAUGAUUCCUUUUGCAUAUGUGUAUUUGCUUUUAAUUGCCUAAAGAAACUCUCAGAAGGAUUCAAAAGAUCCAUACCAAACAAGAUGGGAGAACAGAGGAGUAGUGACAGGAGUAGAAGCACUGUAGACCUUUUCAUAUCAUUUUGGUUUUUAAAUUACAUGAGUAGGUUACCUAAUUAUUAAAAUAAAUUUAAUUUAAAAGGUAAUGGGGGAUAGGAAGAAAUUUGUUAAAAGAUACAAAAUUACAGCUAGAUAGGAAGAUUAAGUUGUAGUGUUCUAUAGCUCUGUAGGAUGACUACAGUUAACAAUAAUAUAUAUUCUAAAUAGCUAGAAGGAGGAUAUUGAAUGUUCUCAACAGAAAGAAAUGAUAAAUGCUUAAGAUGAUGGAUAUACUAAUUACCCUAAUCUGAUCACUGUAUAUUUUGUGUAUUGCAAUGUCACUAUGUACCCCAUAAAUAUGUAUAAUUAUCGUGUGUCAAUUAAAAAUUUUUAAUUAAAAAAUUAUAAACAAAAAA